rnacentral:snoRNA from 1 species
UAGCCAGGGUGAAAGCGUGGCGCGAGGUUGUGUGGGAGAACGAAAGGCUGAGUGAGUGUUGCUGAGGGCUGGGUGCGUACGGAGUUUUGUAAGUCGGAAGGUGUGUGUGUCUGAGUGUGUCCCUGCGCUACCUUAAAUUAUUCUUUACACGUUGAUCUUAUUUGAUCGGGCUAGGAAGCUGCCGCCUCCCCGGCCCGAAAUGAGAAGACUCCCCUUCCUGUGAAGCCUUCGGGCGCUGUACAGCGAAGCAAACUGAACGAGCGGCAGUUGAGCCGGAGGUGAUGAAUUGAUCAGAUAGAUGAAGCCGGAGAAUCGGGAUUCUCCCUUCUCUCGGCCAAUGUGUAUCGAGGCGAUUCUGAUCCGG